UCUCAUUUCAAAACCCUAGUUUCUCUUCAACAACUUGCAACAAUUCACACCCCAUUUCAACUAUUCUCCAACGGUACAGUUUCCCCCUUCAUAACCUCCACAACUUCCUCAAAUCAAACCAAUUCUUACUCAACUCCAACGUCACAUACAUCGAAACAUCAAUAAAAAUCCUAUCUUUAUUCAAGUCUUCCACCAAUUUCAUCACACCCACUGUUUCCAACUGCCCUAGGGUUCUAGACCUCAAUUUUCUCAAUAAUUGGGAACUGGGUAUUUCAACUAGCCACCACCACCACCCACCCCUUACAACCAGCCACCACCACCACCACUUGACCAUCGCAACCCCCCCUCUCUCAAUCCCAUCCGGCGACACCAUCAACCAUCGCAACCCCCCUCUCUUUCUCAUUCCCUCCGGCGACACCAACAAUCGACACCAUCAACCAUCAAGAACCACCAUUGUCUCCACCGCACCACUGACCUACCGCCAUCAAAGUAGACGCACCAACCACCAUCAUCUCUGACGAACAAAAACAAGCAGUCGGUUUUUUUUUUCAAUUUGCAGAUUGGUUUGAAGGCUUGAAUCGGAGGUUAAUUUGGGUUUUAUUUGUGAGGCUGUAAAUUGAUGAUGGUUUUUUUCAAUUUGUAUAUUUGUGCGAAUGCAGGAGAUGUUUAUGUCUUGGAUCUCAUGAUAUGAUGCCAAUUUGGGUUUUAUUUGUGAAGCUUUGGAUUUAUGGUGGUGUUGGAAGGAGAUGAUGGUGGAAGGAGGCAGUGGUACAGAGGAUGGACGAUCAGAAGAAUGGGUGUUUGUUUAAAGAAAGAGAGAGAUAAAUGAUAUAUAAUAUUUUUUUUCUUUUAUAUGUAUUUUUAAAGAAUAGGGUGAAAAGACAAUUUUACCCUCAUGUGCAUUGCACAUGAACAUAUUUAAUAGAAGAAUCUAACUGGGUUAGGGUUAAAGGACAAAACUUGUAUGAUUUGAAAACAUAAAGUACAAAACUCGUCACUUUUAAAAAUAAAUGACAACGCCUGAAAAUGUAUAUAAAGAUAAAGAACAAUCCUUGAAAUUCACUCUAAAAAUAAAUUAUGUAAGAUUAAAUUAAAACUUU
rnacentral:lncRNA from 1 species